AUUUUUUUUAUAACGACGACGAUGAUGACAUUAUUGCGAUCGCUAUUCCAUCGUAACACCGUACGGUAUGGGACCGGAGGCGACGAAGUGGGGUCCGGGUUUUGACAUCGAAGACUUGGUAGAGACCGGAGAGGUCCGAAGCGGCUAAGAGGAGGCCGUCGAGACGGAAGGAGAGACGUGGAAGGAGGAGGAAACGUCGCCCGUCGGAGAUGGGGAGAGGGGAGAAGAGAGAAAGGGGAGCGGACUAGGCUGCAGCGAAAGGUGGGUCCGUGUGGAAAGGAGAAAAGGAGAAGAAAGAGACUGAGGAAACGAGGUUUGGGGCUUGAGUAGAUUUGAAAGAAGACCUAUAUUAGGAUUUUGGGGUUUGGGUUUGGGUUCGUGGUUUAGGUUUGAUUAGGAAGGUUUUUGAGAUUAUUGUUGUUUGUUCUGGGCUGAUUUCUGCAAUUUUUGCUGCAAAAUCGAGGUAUUUGGCGUGUUUAGGGUUUUUGAAUUUUGGCGGCGCAAUAAAACGGGGCGCUCAAGAAAAAGAAAGAAAACUUCCGUGAAGAGCCACGUGGCUAUCUUCAACAGUCUCAAUGGCCCAUUUGGCACUUUAUUGCAUUAACCCAAUACAAAAAAUAGAAAAUUGGAAAAUAGGGAAAAAUCACUACUAUGUUAAUUCCACGUUGGCAAUCCGUGGCUUCUUCCCCUGAACCAAUCAAAACAUAGUGCCCCGCCAGCAAGCCAGCUUCCCAUGCCCUUUAUAAAUUCCUACCUUUCUUCUCAUUGAUAGUCACAGAAAAGUUCACUUAAUUUCUCCAUUCUGCAUCUGCCCCAAUUUUAUUUGUUUCUUCUUCUUAACAAUAAUAAUCUAGGGUUUAAAGCGAAGAUGAGCUCAACAGGAUCAACAAAGGGUGGCAGAGGCAAGCCUAAAUCCUCCAAAUCUGUUUCCAGAUCUCAGAAAGCCGGCCUCCAGUUCCCCGUAGGCCGUAUCGCCCGCUUCCUCAAAGCCGGAAAAUACGCUGAUCGUGUCGGUGCCGGUGCCCCCGUCUACCUCUCAGCCGUCCUUGAAUACCUCGCCGCUGAGGUUCUUGAACUUGCUGGAAAUGCGGCUAGGGACAACAAGAAGAAUCGUAUCGUUCCCAGGCACAUACAACUGGCUGUGAGGAAUGAUGAAGAGUUGAGUAAACUUUUGGGGACUGUUACGAUUGCUAACGGUGGUGUUCUACCGAACAUUCAUCAAAAUCUGUUGCCGAAGAAGAUUGGUAAAGGGAAGGGUGAUAUUGGAUCGGCUUCACAAGAAUUUUAGGAGAUUCUCCUUUCAUUUUUGUAGUGUCAGAGAGUCUCCUUGUUUUGGAACUUUAUUAUAAUAUUAUUAUUAAAAAAAAAAAAAAGAAUCGGAUUGAUCUUGAUGGGUUGUUUUCUGAACUUUCAAUCGAUCCUGUAUAGUUUUAAUUUUGGGAUGGUUUUGCUUUGGUUGAAUAUAGGUUCUGCAAAUUGAAAUGCUACAUUUUCUCUUAUAGAAUCAAAUGAAUAUGUAUAAGAACAAGACUUUCAUCUGAUGAAAUGUUUGAGGAAGUUGGUGUCUUUUAUCUGGAAAUAUUAAUUCUCAGAUGAGCAACGUUUUUAAUACUAUUUACCUUGCAUUUGCAAUAAUUUUCUUUCUUUCAAGUAAGCUAGGCUUAACUUACCACCGGCCGUGAUAUUUCUGGUGUUUUAUGAUGGGUCGGAUUAUUCUGUUCGUCAAAUUCAAAUUCUGAUACUUUGCAAAGACAACCUGCCAAGGAAGAUAUUUUGAUGAUGAAUAUCAAUUGGGGAUAUAGCUCAAAUGGUAGAGCGCUCGCUUUGCAUGCGAGAGGUACAGGGUUUGAUCCCCUGCAUCUCCAAUUGGUUUUUCAUUUUUGCUUAUUAUAUCUGGUGUCGGAAUUUUCAAUAAACGACCGCAUGGAAGUUCGUAGCAGAGCCUGGGAGCAUCCUUUAUCCUCUCAUCUGAUAAGUCCCGCCAUUUUUUUCCAGGGUUUUGGUUGACAUUAGGAGGAAUGUCCCUUCGUCUAGACAGCCUUGCUCCUAAGUUGACAGUUUCAAGGCUCUCCUUGGAACUCUAGUAAUGUCUCUAUCUCUCUGAGUUUUGUCCUUAUAAGCAAUGACUUUUGGCGAGCAGAACUUUCUUCCUCAGUCAUUUCUUCUUCUCGAUCAAGCUUUUGACACCUGAAUCAACUUCUUUGACUCUGCCGAAAUGUAUCCAGUUCCUCAGCAUGCUGAAACUCAAGG